AUUGAACGCUGGCGGCAGGCCUAACACAUGCAAGUCGAACGAGUGGCGGACGGGUGAGUAAUGUCUGUGAAACUGCCUGAUGGAGGGGGAUAACUACUGGAACCGGUAGCUAAUACCGCAUACCAUCAGAUGGGCCCAGCUGGGAUUGGCUAGUUGGUGGGGUAACGGCUCACCAAGGCGAGUAUCCCUAGCUGGUCUGAGAGGUUGACCAGCCAACCUGGAACUGGGAAACGGUCCAGAUUCCUACGGGAGGCAGCAGUGGGGAAUAUUGCACAAUGGGCGCAAGCCUGAUGCAGCCAUGCCGCGUGUAUGAAGAAGGCCUUCGGGUUGUAAAGUACUUUCAGCGGGGAGGCGUUACCCGCAGAAGAAGCACCGGCUAACUCCGUGCCAGCCGCCGCGGUAAUUC
rnacentral:rRNA from 1 species